rnacentral:lncRNA from 1 species
UGAAAUGUAAAACUUUCUCUGUCUUAAAAUAUAAUGCAUUGAAGUACUUCAAAAUUAUCUUAAAUUAUAUGGAACUGCUAGCGCCCGGACGUCUUAUCCGGGCGCUAGCGUCCGAACGCUAAGCGAGCACUGAAUCAUGCCGAAAACCGCCCUUGCCUUCCCACAUCGAACCGUGACCCCACCCACCCCGCACGGAGAAGAAAGUCCGCCCCGCAUGAAGAAGAAAAUAGAAAUUGGAACGGCCCUUCCUCCGCUUCCCGUGCAUGAAACUCACCCGCCUCCACCCAUGCGCACGGGAUCUGCCCGCCUCCAACCUCGCACGCCCCAACACCUCCGCCCGGUGCUAGCUUGCCCCUACAAACUAUCCCCAAGCUUGCCUCACCCUCUUGCCACUGCAACAGUAGGACGAAGCAGUUGAAACACCAUAAACAUGUUAUUGCAAUAACACCGAAGAAACUGCUACAAUAAUAGAUUGAAGCAGUUGAAACACCAUAAACAUGUGUGUUGCAACAAACAAAAAAGGGAUAAUAGCAACGAUGUUAGGAUGAAGAUGUUGAAACACCUUGAACAUAUUAUUACAACAACAAAGAAAAACAGCUGAAACAUCAUGCUAAAACACCAUGAACAUAUUAACAUGUUGCAAUCUGCAAGCAGUACUACUGCAACAUCAACUAAAACUCUUCUGCAACAUCCAGAGGAAACCAUUGCAACACGACGAGAUCUGAGCCCUAAGAGCUUGCCGAAACCCUAGCCACAGCCACAUCCCUUAGAUCCAGAGGGGAGAGGAGGGAGACGAGUAGUAGAAGGAGAAGAGUCAGAUCUAGAGAAGAAUGAGGGGGGAGCUCAGAUCUAGAUCUAGAUAAGAAAGAGAAGGCCUCAGAUCUCCUUCACAACCUACCUCGUUGGAGCCGCCGCCGUCAUCCUCAUCUCUGGUGGUGUGCAUGGAGCUGGGUUGCAGGGACAAUGGGGAUCUGUGGAGGGUGCGGUGGCGCGAGGUAAGUAGGGGAGAAGGGAGCGGGGGCAGCGUAGGGGCACGCUAUGAGCCUGCAGACGCGUGAGCAUGGUGGUCUCUCGGCGACGGCAUGACCAGCGAGAAGGAGAGCGACGCGGAGAAGAAAGCAAGUGCAGGGAGCGACGCGAGAAGAGCGAGUGAGGGGGGUGCUCAGAGAAGAAAGCAGAGUGGGGGAUAACAUAGACGGGAACAGGCGGAGAAAGUAAAGCAUCGUGUGCAUGCGUGCUUGGUCGAGUCGCUGGUCCGCAUCGCGUGCUCGGUUGAGUUG